UCGUUCUGAACGUCUUAACUUAAUUACAGCGAGAUCCAGUUUCAGCCAUUAUAGUCAAAAUUGUUUCAGUACGCGUUUUAAACGUCGAAUUACACAGUUAUUAAACAGUCGACGGUGAUAAAAAAGUGAGAACAAUAUAGUGGAACUUACGCAUUCAACAUGUGCAACCCAAACAAAACAAAUCAGCCUCGGUACACGAAGAACCGGCGCAGAAGGGGCGCCGGCUUCACAUUAUAUAACCAACAUUUAAAUCUGCCGGUUAUAUUUCGAGUUUGGAGUUUGUCAAGUUCGGAUACGUUCAAUCCGAAUAAUCCAGCGCCAAAGACUAAGGAUGAUGCACAAAAAAAAUAACUUGUGAAUAAACCGCCAACGGACACCUCCGCCCACUCUUCAAGUCGUCGCGGUCGAAUCGUAUAAUAAUUAAUUUAUAUUUAGUAUUCCCGUGAACUUAGUUAUUCACUUAUUGUAUUAAGUUUGAUUGUUUUUUUAGUAAUGACUGUCUAUUGCUGUCAUUAAUGUUCUAAAAAUGUAAUAAAUAGUUGACUCAAUAUUAAAAUGUUAUUUCCAACUCACA